rnacentral:rRNA from 1 species
GAUGAACGCUGGCGGCGUGCCUAAUACAUGCAAGUCGAGCGAACAGACGAGGAGCUUGCUCCUCUGACGUUAGCGGCGGACGGGUGAGUAACACGUGGAUAACCUACCUAUAAGACUGGGAUAACUUCGGGAAACCGGAGCUAAUACCGGAUAAUAUAUUGAACCGCAUGGUUCAAUAGUGAAAGACGGUUUUGCUGUCACUUAUAGAUGGAUCCGCGCCGCAUUAGCUAGUUGGUAAGGUAACGGCUUACCAAGGCGACGAUGCGUAGCCGACCUGAGAGGGUGGGCGGGCGGGGGGGGGGGGGGGCGCGGGGGAGGGGGCGGCGGGGGGGAGCGGUGGGGAAUGGGGGGGGAGGGGGGGAAGGGUGGCGGAGCGGGGCCGGGUGAGUGAUGAAGGUCUUCGGAUCGUAAAACUCUGUUAUUAGGGAAGAACAAAUGUGUAAGUAACUAUGCACGUCUUGACGGUACCUAAUCAGAAAGCCACGGCUAACUACGUG